rnacentral:tRNA from 1 species
GGUAAGGUGGCCGAAGCAGGUGCCGAGUUGUAGCCUCGGUUAUAAAGGUCAACCCUUUCCUUAUCA